CGUGUAGGCGGUUGGGUAAGUCAGAUGUGAAAGCCUUCUGCUUAACAGAAGAAGUGCAUUUGAAACUGCUCGGCUGGAGUACGGGAGAGGAGAGUGGAAUUCCCGGUGUAGAGGUGAAAUUCGUAGAUAUCGGGAGGAACACCAGUGGCGAAGGCGGCUCUCUGGUCCGAUACUGACGCUGAGACGCGAAAGCGUGGGGAGCAAACAGGAUUAGAUACCCUGGUAGUCCACGCCGUAAACGAUGGGCACUAGGUGUAGGAGGUAUUGACCCCUUCUGUGCCGAAGCUAACGCAUUAAGUGCCCCGCCUGGGGAGUACGGCCGCAAGGCUAAA
rnacentral:rRNA from 1 species